rnacentral:lncRNA from 1 species
CCACCCCUUAUUGAUAUUGUCUGCCUGUUUUAAUUGAACAGCUGUGCAUUUUAACUGAUUCAAUUUAAAACAUUGGCCUGUAGUGUGAGACUUCAGGCAUUUUGCAAAAAUGCUAUGCAGGAGGAGAAGGUACACACCUGGUGAUUUUAUUUUGUUUUUUUUUAAAUCUCCAGUUACUGCAAAAACAAGUUUCAUUCAAAUUGAAGAACACUGAGGAGGAAGAGAAAGAGUAGUAAUGUGGAGAUGUAGCAUGGGAAUAACUUUCUGAACUAAAGCUUGGUCCUUUGCAGGUAGCCUGUAUGCAGUUCAUCAAUGCCCUUGUUACAUCUCCAGAAGAUCUUGAUUUCAGGAUGCASUUGAGAAAGGAGUUUUUACAUUGUGUGCUGAAAAAAAUAUUGCCUGGGAAAYGUUUCAAGAAAUUUGUAAGUGAGCAAAAGUUUCUGGAGUGAGAAGAUUUGGGAAGAGGAUCCGUAAUUCUUGGUCUCUUUCUCUGUCCAGAUACAAAAUAUGCUUCUCUGGYUUUCAAACAGAAUCGGUAUGAGUUCCACUUUUUUCUGGCUAUAUAAAAUUAGCAUCCAGUUGUGUAUGUCUAGUUCCAGGCCAAUUUUCAUUUAAAGCAUAGAGUGUACUCACACUAAUGGCUUUUGAACUAGUGUUGCUUUUUGUGUGAUGUGCCUAGCAGGAAGCUAAACUUGCCUCUUAGGUGUGUUGGAGAAAUUAUUCUGUAUUUCUUAUAAGGAACACUUCCCCUCCGCCCCCACCUCCAAAUACCUUUUUUUCUUUUCUUUUUCUUUUUUUUUUACUUCUCGUGUAAGUAUUUCUGAGAAUGCACUAGAGAUGUUUUUAUGCUGUGAUCUAGAUUAACUUCUAAUGACAAAAGUUGUAAACAUCCCUCAUUUACACUUCUUUAGCCUUCUUUAGUUGUCUUUCCUUGAUGUCUUGAAAUAUUCUUAUGCAAUGUUUUUUUAAGAAGAACUGACACUGACAAGACUGAAUCGUCAACUAUGUUUUAUUGAGAGAGCUCAACUCUAUUAUGUUUUGUUUCUUUUACAGCUUAUGCCUGCUAUACUGGCUGAUAUUUUUGCCCUACUUUUUAUCAGCUGUGCAAUAAUAUUUUWAAAAAAAUCAGAAAAUCAGUUACAACUUAUUCUUUUUAAAAUGUGUUUUCUGCUCAGAACGUUAAUAUAUUAUAUUUUGCAAUGAUGUAAUCUUUGAAGGGGGGAAAUUGUUGCUUUAAGAAGAAAUGGAAAAUUAAGAUACGCUAUGCCUUGAAAAAUAGGAUUUGAAAGGUAACGAGAAUGAAGAGCUUGAUAUUCAGUUGAAAGUGUUUGAAAACAAAGAMGACGACUUAAUUGAGCUGUCACAUCGUCUCAGUGAUAUCGAAGCCGAAAUGGAAUAUCCUUUAUAGAAAUGGUGUUCUAAUGUGUUGAUUAGUAGUUUUAUUUAAACCUAAGGUAGCCUUCUCUACAUGCAGCUGAUUGUCACAAUUACAUCUCUUCCUAAGGAUUUUCACAAGCAGAUUUCAUUUCACUUGCUUUUGUUAGAAAUUUAGUUAGAAAAUUAGCGUCUGUAUUGAUAUAGUUCUCUUAAAUGCAAGUCAUUAGGAACUGAAUUAAUUUUUCAUAAAUAUCARUUAUUAAACUAAAUACUCUGUUGGUUUGUAAUAUGUAAAGAUGUAAAAUUACACUUGAAUUUUAAGUCUCAUUAAAAUGGCAGGUUUGAUAACUAAAUCAGAACAAUUUUUCAAGUGGGUUUUUGAAACAAUUAAAAUGUAUGCUUUCUSUGGGUGUGAAACAGCAGUAAAUUUCAAGUUACGUGAGUCCAGAACUCUUACUUGACAUUGUCUGAAUUUGGAAAAAGUCCUAGGUAGUACUGAAGAAAUGGAGAAAUAUGGGAACCAAUGAAGGGGGUAUAAAAUCAGUAGCAUGUAAGAUUGUUGUUGCAUUAUAGUUGCAGAAGACAACUUUGGGAAUUGUCUUUAAGAAAUUAAAAUGAUUAACCAGUGUGCUUUUUGCCAAUAGACAGGCUUACUUCAAAAUAAAAAUGAAAACUGUGUGAAAUAUGCUUACA